GACCUCAGGUGAUCACCCACCUUGGCCUUCCAAAGUUCUGGGAUUACAGGUGUGAGCCACCACGCCCAGCCUUAUUACGUGUAUUAUUUCAUUCAUCAAAAUAUACUAACUGCCUCCUGCGUGUCAGGUGUCUGUGGGGUGCUGUAGGCUUAUGCUUAAAGCUUUCUUCUUUUGUAUUUUAAAACGGUUUCCACAUAGUUAUGAAGAAGACUCCUAAAUAGGAAGGGACUGAGGCUGGAAUCUCAUGACCAACCAGGUAAAAUUACCUUCAAAGUCUGUGUCAAAUCAGUUCUACAUUUCUCUACAUCAGUCUACAUUCUUCUAUUUUAUUCAAAGGGAUAUUAACAAGGAAGAUUAAAUGCUGGCUGAAAGCUCUCAUAUUUGUAUCCAUAGAAAUACAAAUUAUAUAUAAAAUUACAUGAUUACUACCAUUAUCAUGAUUAUGUUCUUAGCCUUUCCGAAUUCCUAUUAUAUGCAAGGCUUCUACUUAACUCCAUGGAUAUAAUGGGCUAUAUAGUCCUUGCCCACAAGAAACUAUUGCCAACACUAAUUUCUUUGCCUUUCAUAGACUGUUUUUUCCCCUGUUAAAUCUUAUCUUAAGUAGCUUUAAAAGAAACUGAAAAAGUUGAAGUGUAAUAUAUAACAUACAGAUAGUAAAGUACAUAAACCUUAAGAGUACAGCUUGAUGAAUGUUUGCAGCGUGAACGCAGUCAUGUAAGUACCACCCAGAGCAAGCCUUAGAAUGUUACCAUGCCUCUCCAGCACUCCCUCCCAGUAGUUACCUGCCUUUCCAAAGGUUACCAUUCUGUGGACUUCUAGAAAAAUAGAUUAAUUCUGCUUGUUUUUGCACUUUGUGCAAAUGCAGUGACAAUGCAGUAUGCACUCUUUCGUGUCUAGUUUCUUUUGCUUCAUUUCUAACUGUGAGAGGCUGGUAUGUUGCUGCAGCUCCUGACAGCUUAGUGCUGUAUGCCACAAUUCAUUUAUCCAUUCUGUUCGUACACGGUGGGUUGUUUCUGGUUUUACUAAUAAAAACAAAGCCUUACUAAUAAAAAUAAAAACAUUCUCAAAUAUGAAAGAUUUAAAUAUUUAAGUGCACACCUGAAAUAAGUGUACAUUUCUGCUGGGUAUAUACCUAUGAAUAGAAUUGCUGAUUGGGUUAUACACAUGUUCAGCCUUCUAAAAACUUCUGAAGUAGUUGCCUCUGUUAACGCUUCCACUAGCAGUACUUAGUAAAUGUUAGUUUCG